rnacentral:rRNA from 1 species
AUUGAACGCUGGCGGCAUGCCUUACACAUGCAAGUCGAACGGCAGCACGGGUGCUUGCACCUGGUGGCGAGUGGCGAACGGGUGAGUAAUAUAUCGGAACGUACCUUAUUGUGGGGGAUAACGCAGCGAAAGCUGUGCUAAUACCGCAUAAUCCCUAAGGGGGAAAGCGGGGGACCGUAAGGCCUCGCGCAAUUAGAGCGGCCGAUACCUGAUUAGCUAGUUGGUGAGGUAAAGGCUCACCAAGGCAACGAUCAGUAGCUGGUCUGAGAGGACGGUCAGCCACACUGGGACUGAGACACGGCCCAGACUCCUACGGGAGGCAGCAGUGGGGAAUGUUGGACAAUGGGGGCAACCCUGAUCCAGCAAUGCCGCGUGAGUGAAGAAGGCCUUCGGGUUGUAAAGCUCUUUUGUCAGGGAAGAAACAGCAGCUCUAACACAGUUUGCGAAUGACGGUACCUGAAGAAUAAGCACCGGCUAACUACGUGCCAGCCGCCGCAGUAA